GAUGAACGCUAGCGGCAGGCUUAAUACAUGCAAGUCGAGGGACAGCACAGGUAGCAAUACUGGGUGGUAACCGGCAAACGGGUGCGGAACACGUACACAACCUUCCUUUAAGUGGGGGAUAGCCCAGAGAAAUUUGGAUUAAUACCCCGUAAUAUAGUUGAAUGGCAUCAUUUGAUCAUUAUAGCUACGGCGCUUAAUGAUGGGUGUGCGGCUGAUUAGUUAGUUGGCGGGGUAACGGCCAACCGAGUCUACGAUCAGUAGCUGAUGUGAGAGCAUGAUCAGCCACACGGGCACUGAGACACGGGCCCGACUCCUACGGGAGGCAGCAGUAAGGAAUAUUGGUCAAUGGACGCAAGUCUGAACCAGCCAUGCCGCGUGAAGGAUUAAGGUCCUCUGGAUUGUAAACUUCUUUUAUUUGGGACGAAAAAGGGCCUUUCUAGGUCAACUGACGGUACCAGAUGAAUAAGCACCGGCUAACUCCGUGCCAGCCGCCGCCGUAAUAC
rnacentral:rRNA from 1 species